rnacentral:rRNA from 1 species
CGUAACGAUCAUAAAGCCAUGCAAGUCUAAGUUUAAGCACCUAAACGGCGAUACUGCGAAUGGCUCAUUAAAUCAGUUAUCGUUUAUUUGAUAGUACCUACUACAUGGAUAACCGUGGUAAUUCUAGAGCUAAUACAUGCUAAAAAUCCCGACUUCGGAAGGGAUGUAUUUAUUAGAUUAAAAACCAAUGCCCUUCGGGGCUCACUGGUGAUUCAUAAUAACUUCUCGAAUCGCAUGGCCUUGCGCUGGCGAUGGUUCAUUCAAAUUUCUGCCCUAUCAACUUUCGACGGCUGCGUCUUGGCCAGCCAUGGUGACAACGGGUAACGGAGGGUUAGGGCUCGACCCCGGAGAAGGAGCCUGAGAAACGGCAACUACAUCCAAGGAAGGCAGCAGGCGCGCAAAUUACCCAAUCCCGACACGGGGAGCUAGUGACAAUAAAUACUGAUACAGGGCUCUUUUGGGUCUUGUAAUUGGAAUGUGUACAAUUUAAAUCCCUUAACGAGGAACAAUUGGAGGGCAAGUCUGGUGCCAGCAGCCGCGGUAAUUCCAGCUCCAAUAGCGUAUAUUAAAGUUGUUGCAGUUAAAAAGCUCGUAGUUGAACCUUGGGCCUGGCUGGGCGGUCCCCCUCCCGCGUGCACUGGUCCGGGCGGGCCUUUCCCUCUGGGGAGCCGCAGGCCUUCACUGGGUGUGGCGGGGAACCAGGACUUUUACUGUGAAAA